AGUUGGCACUAUGUACAAUUUCAUUAAUGCUAUUUACUUAUUUCUUAAAUGCGCUGUACAUUUCAUUAAUUUUUUAGAUUAAAAACAAAGUAAAUUUCAUUAAAGGCUAUUGAAUGCAGAAUUUAGUUGACGAAAAUACUCUGGCUGCCUUCGCAUCGAAUAGUUACUGAGGUUCAUUGCUUCUACAAUUUUGUUGCAUUCUCAUUUGGCAGGGGUGAAAGAUUUAAGGAAGCAGAACAUUUUAUUUGCUAAAAGUUUCCUAAGAAGACUGCAUAAAUCCAGGUAUCCUUUGCACAACACAGUCUUACCAAUUUCACAUGCUUACUGCUUAAGGAGUGAGUGGAAGAUUUAGAAAGGCAGAAAAUCGUUUGCAGAAAGUUCCCAGAACAACACAAGCACUUCCCAAAACAACACAAGCAGAUGGUAGAAAUCCAGGUAUCAUUUGCAUUUGCUUGGAAGUUUCUUUGACAUUUUUAUCAGACCCAUUUUUUUCAUCGAGCACUAGCAGAUCUUAUGCACUCUCUACUUGUAUAAUAGUUUUGAAGACAAGUUCUUACAAUACCACAACACGUUAUCUUUUUCGCACUCAA